GAGAAGUGGCACAAGUAGGACUUGCUUCCCCAUCACCAGAACUGCUCAAAUCUUUGUUCCUAAAACUGACACAUUUUCUUCCAGCAUACAAGGGUGUGAAGGACAGCAGGAUGGAAGGCAGAAUGACAAUUUUGCCAGGACAGCCCAAUGACCAUGAUGGAUCUACUUUCAUGGCUGCUAUACAUGUCCCACAUGGCCAGGAAAUAAAGGAAAACUUUUCACCUCCCAAGGAUCCCAAGCAAAUGGAUGGCCGUUCUGUAGUAGGUGAGUUUUUGGCAAGAGGUUUGGAAAACUGUAAGUGAAUUAACUGAAGAAAGGUCCUGCAUGUCUGGAAGAUUUAUAAAUAAUGAACAGACUU